GUCUGCUUGACACAGCUAUUCCUUACACUAGUUCUGCCACUUUAGACAAUGACCUCGGUCGCAUUCAUCCUGCCUACUGUAUCCAGCCUCAUCAUUUCUAGACAGAGUCAUCAUUCCUUAAUACUUGGGAGUAAAUUUGGUGUGAUUGAAGAACCAGAUAAGAUUAUUAUUCAGCCACUACCAGUUAUUGUAAUUAUAAGAUCUCCAAUCAUCUAUUGAUCUUCUGUUAUGUUUAGAACAUCUACAUCAAAGUGAUCAUACCACUAUGCUAUCCCUGUAUAUUGCCUAUGUUGUACAGUCAGAGCUCUCUGCUGCCUCCCUAUCACUACUUUGAUCUAUUCUUAAGUUCACACCCCUAUCAUGCUUAUAAAGUUACUGUCCCUGGAGUCCUGAUUAAGUUUCUGUCCAGAUUACUGUAAAUGGUGGACUGACAUAGAAGAACAAGCAUGGAAUAAACUCUUUCCUCUCAAA